rnacentral:rRNA from 1 species
UCCUGUACUACCGAUAACCGUUUGAGAGAAGGGAUGACACAGUAGGAUAAGCUAAGCACACUGUUGGUUAUGUGUGCCCAAGCAUUGAGGCAGUCAAAGUAGGCAAAUCCGCUUUGAUAAUGCUGGGAUGUGAUGGGGAGCGAAAUUUAGUAGCGAAGUAGCUGAUUUCACACUGUCAAGAAAAGUCUCUAUCGAGGUUAAAGGUACCCGUACCGCAAACCGACACAGGUGGGUGAGGAGAGUAUCCUAAGGCCAGCGAGAGAACUGUUGUUAAGGAACGCGGCAAAAUGACCCCGUAACUUAGGGAUAAGGGGUGCCACCAGCAGGUGGCCGCAGAGAAUAGGCCCAAGCGACUGUUUACCAAAAACAUAGGUUUCUGCUAAGUCGCAAGACGAUGUAUAGGAGCUGACGCCUGCCCGGUGCUGGAAGGUUAAGGGGAUCUGUUAGAGCAAUCGAAGCAGUGAACUUAAGCCCCAGUAAACGGCGGCCGUAACUAUAACGGUCCUAAGGUAGCGAAAUUCCUUGUCGGGUAAGUUCCGACCCGCACGAAAGGCGUAACGAUUUGGGCACUGUCUCAACAACAGACUCGGUGAAAUUGUAAUUCCGGUGAAGAUGCCGGAUACCUGCGACAGGACGGAAAGACCCCAUGGAGCUUUACUGUAGCUUGACAUUGGGUCUUGGUACUACAUGUACAGGAUAGGUGGGAGGCUUUGAAACCAGGACGCCAGUUUUGGCGGAGCCAUCCUUGGGAUACCACCCUUGUAGUACUGGGACUCUAACCAUAGGCCAUGAAUCUGGUCUUGGGACACUGUCAGGUGGGCAGUUUGACUGGGGCGGUCGCCUCCCAAAAGG